rnacentral:rRNA from 1 species
UCGAUUUGGAGUUUGUUGCCUAGAGUGAUGGGCUCCGAAGCUAACGCGAUAAAUCGACCGCCUGGGGAGUACGGCCGCAAGGUUAAAACUCAAAUGAAUUGACGGGGGCCCGCACAAGCGGUGGAGCAUGUGGUUUAAUUCGAUGCAACGCGAAGAACCUUACCUGGUCUUGACAUCCACAGAAUCUUGCAGAGAUGUGAGAGUGCCUUCGGGAACUGUGAGACAGGUGCUGCAUGGCUGUCGUCAGCUCGUGUUGUGAAAUGUUGGGUUAAGUCCCGCAACGAGCGCAACCCUUAUCCUUUGUUGCCAUCGGUUCGGCCGGGAACUCAAAGGAGGCUGCCGUUGAUAAAGCGGAGGAAGGUGGGGACGACGUCAAGUCAUCAUGGCCCUUACGACCAGGGCUACACACGUGCCACAAUGGCGUAUACAAAGGGAGGCGACCUCGCGAGAGCAAGCGGACCUCAUAAAGUGCGUCUAAGUCCGGAUUGGAGUCUGCAACUCGACUCCAUGAAGUCGGAAUCGCUAGUAAUCGUGAAUCAGAAUGUCACGGUGAAUACGUUCCCGGGCCU